rnacentral:rRNA from 1 species
UACGUAGGUCCCGAGCGUUGUCCGGAUUUAUUGGGCGUAAAGCGAGCGCAGGUGGUUUAUUAAGUCUGGUGUAAAAGGCAGUGGCUCAACCAUUGUAUGCAUUGGAAACUGGUAGACUUGAGUGCAGGAGAGGAGAGUGGAAUUCCAUGUGUAGCGGUGAAAUGCAUAGAUAUCACACAGAACACCGAUUGCGAAGGCAUCUCACGAAUCCGCGAUUGACGCUGAUGCACGAAAGCGUGGGUAUCAAACAGG